UACGGAGGGUGCAAGCGUUAAUCGGAAUUACUGGGCGUAAAGCGUGCGUGGGCGGUUCGUUAAGUCUGUUGUGAAAGCCCCGGGCUCAACCUGGGAAUGGCAAUGGAUACUGGCGAGCUAGAGUGUGUCAGAGGAUGGUGGAAUUCCCGGUGUAGCGGUGAAAUGCGUAGAGAUCGGGAGGAACAUCAGUGGCGAAGGCGGCCAUCUGGGGACAACACUGACGCUGAGGCACGAAAGCGUGGGGGAGCAAACAGG
rnacentral:rRNA from 1 species